AUUGGAUAAACAUCUUUCAACCAUAGUAUUGACUGCAUAUUUGCAACCGAGUGAAGAGCAUAAGAAGACCAGGAUCUUCACUGAUACCUCUUUCGCCAAAGGCUGGAAUUGCCCCUCCCUUCCUGGCGGCGUGCAUCGGCCACUGCUCCUAGUAUGUGUUUUGAAAGAGCAAGCUGACUGUUGCUAUUGGUUACUGCCUGGGCCUUUGCGUUCCAUUCUCGCAACCGCGGCUAAGCUCGCGUUGUGCGGAUCCCUCACACCUUCCCCUAGGUUUGUGGCUCCCCAAGAAGCCUUGCAGCUGAGAAGUGUGUGAUGGUGGUAGGCACGGGCAAGCUUCGCCAGGGAACUUUGCAAGCGGAACAGGACCGAUGGAAAAAUAUGAGAUCCUUGGACUUGUGGGAGAAGGAAGUUAUGGAACGGUGAUGAAAUGCAGAAACAAGGAGAAUGGCAGAGUUGUUGCCAUCAAAAAAUUUUUGGAAAGUGAAGAUGAUAAAAUGGUUAAAAAAAUUGCCCUGAGAGAAAUAAAAUUUCUCAAGCAAUUAAGGCAUGAGAACUUGGUGAACUUGCUGGAAGUCUGUAAGAAGAAAAAACGAUGGUAUCUGGUGUUUGAAUUUGUAGAUCACACAAUCCUUGAUGAUCUUGAGAUGUUUCCCAAUGGCUUGGAUUAUAACAGAGUUCAAAAAUACUUAUUUCAAAUUAUAAAAGGGGUAGGAUUUUGUCAUAGUCAUAAUAUCAUACAUAGGGAUAUUAAACCUGAGAACAUAUUGGUCUCCUGUUCGGGAAUUAUCAAACUCUGUGAUUUUGGAUUUGCUCGAACUCUGGCAGCUCCUGGUGAAGUUUACACAGAUUAUGUGGCAACACGGUGGUAUCGAGCACCUGAGCUAUUAAUAGGUGAUAUCAAAUAUGGCAAGGCUGUUGAUGUUUGGGCCAUUGGCUGCCUGGUAACUGAAAUGCUUACAGGAGAGCCCCUUUUCCCUGGAGACUCUGAUAUUGACCAGUUAUACCAUAUUAUGAAAAGUCUAGGUAACUUAAUUCCAAAGCACCAGGAGUUAUUUUACAAAAAUCCUCUCUUUGCUGGAGUGAGAUUGCCUGAAAUCAAAGAGUUAGAACCUCUUGAAAAACGAUACUCAAAACUCUCCAUUGCAGUCAUAGAAUUUGCAAAGCAAUGUCUGCAAACUAAUCCAGAAAAGAGGCCAUCUUGUAAUGAACUGCUACAGUGCAACCUCUUUAACAAAGAUGGGUUUGCUGAAAGAUUUGUUCAAGAACUUAAAAUCAAGAUUCAAAAAGAAAAAGAACACGCUGUACCCAAGAAACCAAAAAUAAAUAAGAAGGACAAAGAUGAUAUAGGCGAUGAAAGAAAAAUGCUUUUAAUCCAGGAUUUAGGUGUGAAUUCAAAGCUCAGAGACUCCAAGCUGUUCAGAAUGAAAGUAUCUAAGGCUGACAUACUGAAAUCUGAAAGGUCAUCACGUAUGAGUUUCCUGUAUGAUAACAGUGCUGGGCAAUUUAAUACAAUUCCAACAUAUAUACAGGAUUCAAACAGUAGCAUAGAAUAUGUGAAGAAUCCAAGCAUGGUAAUUCCUCCCAUUGCACAGAAUUAUUCCACCACACAAUCCAGCAUCGAUGGGACUCCCACAAUAGGGACAACAUUGGCAAGCCAUAAUUACAGAAUUGAUGAGAAAAGCAAAAUCUAUUUCAAUCCUUGUAUCAGGCAAGGCAAACAAUCACCAGCAGGUCACUAUAAUGUGAACUUAUCAGCAUCGAUGUUAAAAGAGAACAAUGCUCUUCAGUCCCUCAAAAAAAAAUGGGAGUUUUCUAAAGCAGAUGUCCAUUUGCCAGAACUUAAUUACAGUCAUCUUCCUGAAGUCAAAGGUGUGGAUGUUUGGAAUUCCAGAUUUCUAAAGAAAGAAAAUAAAAUUGUUCCAGAGUCUCGCAUGCCUUCUCUUGCCACAAUAGAUCUUCAGAAUCCAAACCUGGCUCUGCAUCAGAUAUCUGGAAGCUCCUUGCAAGAUACGUCAGAAGCCACCUUCCCCAAGGGUAGAACUGCCAUUGUGAACAAUUUUGGAUCCAGGGAAGAUAAAUUCUCAAAUUAAUUCAAAGACAGAAUAGACCAGGGGUGUCAAACUGCCGGCCCGCGGGCCAGUCACAUCACAAGGAAACCGUGCCCACCACAUUGCUGGCAAUAGGGAAAAAGUUUCAAUAUGUUGCGUGAUGUCACAUGAUGUUGCAAGUUUGACAUGUCAGGAUUAGACUAAAAACCUUAAUGGUAAGUAUAGAAUAAGAGCAAGGGGCAGGGGGGAAUAUAGAAGAAGUUUGCCUUUUAUUUGCACCUUUGUAAUUGAUUUACUUUCACUUUGGUGACCACCAGAAAAGCUGCAAAGUAUGGUGUGGGAAAAAGAGGAUCAUUAGAGCAACUGACAGAAAGAAUAAUUACUCCAGAAAAUAUUACCAAAAAAAAUGAAGAUAGUGUAAUAGACCUCUAUCUAAUGCCUUUUAAAUAACCCCUUUGCUUUUACUUCAUCUCAUUUUAUUUUAUUUUGUUUUGAUCGCUUUUAUUUUUCUGCUAGAUACCUGUAUUUUUAUUAUUUUACUGUUUUUACCGGAGACUGAUAUUUUUAUCAUCUCUGCCAUGGGGAAAAGGAAGAAGAGGGAGAGUUCACAUUUUGCCUCUCUGAUUUCACCCAAGCCUACUAAACAUUUCAAAGUUGACAGAUAUCUAAAAAGUUAACAGCCAUGUGCUAUAAAUAACAAACCAUUCCUAUUUUUCUUGAUAGGGUCUGAAGCACAUAUGACCUCUUGGAAUGUGAUCUACAAGCAGAGAUUAAAACUCCCAAUUUUUAUAUUUUUCUGCCUCUAUUGCUAAAGAAACUUUCCCUUCUCAGAUCACAGUCUUUUGUCUUUAUGCAAUAAGGGGAUGAGGACUUAAAAGAACAAAAUAUUACUGACAAUGCUUACUGACAGCACAAACAUUCUUGUCAAUUUUUUAGCUUCUGACCAUAGUUAACAACAAAGUAAAUGCCCUAAAAGAGACUUUUAUUAAGCUAAUUAAACACUGCUGCUGUGUCAGUUAAAACAAACUCAUGCAGAAACAAAUGUGAUUCAAAAUCAGAUAAUAUUGGUGGAAAGGCAAUCUUAAUUUAGAACCUUAAAAGAGAAUGAGGAAUAAGCAAAGAGAUUUAGCCCUACUAAUAACUCAUCUUGGCAAUAAGAGUGCUUCUACUUUAAAGUUUAAUUGUAGCAACAGCUGGUAACUCCAAGAAUCUUCUAUGCCAUUGCCCUUGAAAAGAGAGAGCUUGAAUAACAAUCUGUAACUCCCACAGCAAGUCAGUUCUCUGAAAGAUAAGCUUGAUUAACUCUGCCAGAUACCUGAACAAGGGUAUUAUAAAAAGGCUUGAUGAUCUGUGGAAAUUAUUGGCAACAACAUGUAAAGCUGCUAAACCUUUAAUAGAGCUGAUUAUCCACAAAUGCCCAAGAAAACAAUGACUAUUUUGAGAAACCAUUUGCUGGGUCAUCCCCUAUUUCAGCAUGGAAUAUAUACAUGGAAGAGAAAAAUAAAUAAUCCUUGAUAGUAAUUUCCAUCUUAUCUCUCUAUUCCCUGCUAAAACAGAAAAUGUAAGUAACAGAAAUAAAACAGGUUGACAGACGAGAGAAAGUAAAAUGCAUCCCAAAUCUUGGUGAGAUUCUAAUCAAAGAUGGUCUUGGAGCAGGAUUGAAUUAUAAGGAGGUCAUCCUUAGCUCAAUGCUUCCAAAAAUAGAUAUGAGCGCAAAAUCACAAGCUAGGCUAGGGUUAUAGCUCAUGAAGCAGUUGAAAAUGUGCUAAGAAGACAAUCUGAGACAAGAAAAUCAUCCUUAUCUAGAGCACUCCAACAGACUUGACUGACUACAGAUAAGAAGAUCCUUUUACGAGGCCUUGGAUCCUGGACUAUUCGUACAAGGAAAUAUGAGACUAAAGGGUGGGCAUCAGGAGGACUGUCUACACUUGCCAAGGCACAGCUGGGCUUGCAAGGACAGGAAUUAGUUUUGGAAUUAGGAAUUAGAUGACUCUCUCCACUAUUUAGAUACAAAAUUUGCAUAUAAAUUCUCUAAACUGGUUCUACUGAAUACACAUUUACCACCAUACACACUGUCCCACUAUUCCCUUAAUAGUUGGGUGAACCUGCAAAAGCUAAAGCUAAAUUCAAAUCACCCUAAAGCUACUGUAAUUCUAGCAGGAAACUUUAAUGCCAAGGUGGGGUCCUUCUUACAAGAGUUUGUACACCUGAGUGUUAUCCAAGGAUUAUCUCAUAAAUAAUCCUCCCUGAUUCUAGAGAUCCCAAAAGAAAUACCACAGGCUCA